rnacentral:rRNA from 1 species
UGGGGAAUAUUGGACAAUGGGCGCAAGCCUGAUCCAGCAAUGCCGCGUGAGUGAUGAAGGCCUUAGGGUUGUAAAGCUCUUUCGCACGCGACGAUGAUGACGGUAGCGUGAGAAGAAGCCCCGGCUAACUUCGUGCCAGCAGCCGCGGUAAUACGAAGGGGGCUAGCGUUGUUCGGAAUUACUGGGCGUAAAGGGCGCGUAGGCGGCCUGUUUAGUCAGAAGUGAAAGUCCCGGGCUCAACCUGGGAAUAGCUUUUGAUACUGGCAGGCUUGAGUUCCGGAGAGGAUGGUGGAAUUCCCAGUGUAGAGGUGAAAUUCGUAGAUAUUGGGAAGAACACCGGUGGCGAAGGCGGGCCAUCUGGACGGACACUGACGCUGAGGCGCGAAA